UCCACCAUACUACUACAAAUCACCACCACCCCCAUCACCAUCACCACCCCCUCCCUACUACUAUCACUCUCCACCUCCACCCGUGAAGUCUCCUCCUCCUCCAUACUACUACAGCUCACCUCCCCCACCCGUAAAAUCACCUCCUCCUCCAGUAUACAUCUAUGGUUCUCCGCCACCACCAGUCCACUACUAAGCAGUUGGAAAAGCUUGGCCAUUUUCCACAACCACUCAAAUUUCAGUUUCAGUCACAAAAUAAGUGAUGGGUUCUUGAGGAGAAGAUUAAUAGUUCCAUGUUCAAAUGCAAUUAAUAAGAUGUUCAACUUUGCAAUUGAGAGGUUGAUUCCUAGUGACUUGGACCACUUUGCUUCUGCUUCUCUGGUUUCCUUAUUACACAUUGUUCUCUGUGUGUCUUCACGUGGAAAGUGGCUUAAAUAGUUGGAAAUAGUAAUUAUACAUCAUCUAGUGUACAAUUUCAUAUGUUGCUUCUUUAUAGUAAUAAUAAUUUAUUAUUAUUAUAUGUAUAGGCUUUGUAAUUUGAUUCGUUUUGCUCUUAAUUAUUGUUGGCCGUCUCCUAGUGCCUACUUGUGCUUUUGUG
rnacentral:misc_RNA from 1 species